CAGUCUCUUGCUUCAGCAGUGUUUGAAUGGAACAG
rfam:Callithrix jacchus chromosome 8, whole genome shotgun sequence